CCAUUCGAUAGAAAAAUUUAUAAAGAAUAUUUUAGUAUUUUUAUUUUAACAAAAUUGUUAAAAUGUAUGAAGAUAUUGACCAUUCAAGAGGGUUUCAUGAGUAUUUUCAUAGUAAAAGUGCUUGGGUGUCAUGAGUACGUAGCUUGCUACCCUGUAGUAUCAAGAGUUUGGCGGCAAGUUUGAAAAUGUUUUUCAAUCGAAUCGACACUGAAUUUUUAUAGAAUGGUUAUUCAAACUGAAAACCUUAAAAGAGAACCUAAUUAUGAAUUGGCAAACACAUUUAUAGUAAAAAGUCAACUUUGAAGAUAACAACAUUUCUGACGUCAUAAUUCGGCCUGCAAUUAAUUGCAAGAAGUGAGCAUCCCUGUAAUGAUUAUCGAAUUGCAUAUUUAUAGGUCAAAUUUCUAAUAAGAUGUGUUGUAUUGAAGUUUUUAUUGUAUUCUGGAUUUGUUUCAGUUUAAAAGCAAAAGCAAAGGUAAGAUGAAAAAAAGAUAUGAUCUGAUAUGACGAGAAGAUGUGCUCCACCAAUUUACCCCCAUAUCAAAGCUAAUGGGGUCUGUGACUAGGUAUGCUAUGCAAUGUUCCGUUUAUUUUUUAUGCUAUGUCUAUAUAUUUCAUCAAAAUAUCUAACCUUAAAAGUUAUGCUUUUAAAUUUAAUUUUUCUUUCAUUUUAUUUCUCUUUUUUUAAUUUUUGUUGGGUCCAAUGGCAUGCGACUUGAGUGCAUCGAGUACGAGCUUGUAAGACUCUUAUCUAUUGUUUUUGUCUAAUUGAACCCAACUAUCAAGAAGUAAUAAUUUUAAUGCGCCCAUUAACUAUUAAGAGGUUCUUAGAUAGUUCCUUACGAAAAGCUUUUAAUCCAAUGGAGGCUCAGCGUUGGUUUUUCUUUUUCAUAAAGAAAUUACAAUAGGUAUACCUACAUACCGACCUACCCUUAAGGUUGAGUUCAGUUCAGUCCUUCAAUGAGAGUAAGUAGUAUGCUACGACCUACGAGUAAUAAAACACAUUUGGCUUAAUUUUAUCAAUAAAAGGACAUAGGUUGGUACAUUGAGAGUGUUGAAAUGAGAAAAAAAAGUAUAUGAGGAAUUGUGUGUAACAUUUGGAAGACUCUUGCGCCUUGUUGGGUGAAUGGAUGGGGUGGAUUUGACGGAUGCAUUUGCUUUGAUUAGUUUCUUAUUAUUUUUAACAGCUUGUCACUAUGACUUUUGAUGGGAAAUGUUGUUUUUGUAAAUAAUUAAAACAGGAAGUUCAUUUGAAAAAGGAUAUGCAUACGUUAAGAGAGUAUUUUGUACGAGUGUUCAUCAAAUUUUAAUGGGUUUAGUUAAUUUGAUCAAAUAUUAAAAUUCGACGUAUCUUUUGGUCGAUGCUUAAGUUGUGUUAUGUUUAAUAUGCUCGUGCGGUUUACAGCCCGUUCACACGAUCACGAAUCAGCGGUUUUGCCGUAACGUCGAUUUUACCGUAUAAGCCAGUGUCAAUAUAAUUUAAAUGAGUAUAUUCAGGCGAUACGGCAUUUAACUGUAUACGGUAAAAUUACCGAUUAGGUCGAUUUUGUCUCCGCAAAUCGUUUUCGGUCGUACGGUAAAAAAAACUAUUCAGCUCAUCGUGGCAAUGUAUUUAUAGACAGUGCGUUCAGACGAUCUGAUAUUUUGACCGAUAGUGCGUCAUUUUACGUUUGGACUACUGUCGAAUAAUUUAUUGCUUGUAUAUAGUCGUAGUGCGGGUCGUCGGUUAAGGGUUGAGUACGGUGUACUGUAAAAUUACCGUACCGUCUAAACACUCCAACCGAAAGACACUGAAUCGAGAAAAUAUCCGAUACGGUGAAAAUAUCGAAUCGUGUGAACGGGCUUUUAGGUUUAUCUAAUUUAAUUUUAAAAUUUUGUGCAUCGAACCGAAACAUAAGCGAUAAGAAAAUUAAAAAAAAAGAACAUUUGUGAAACGAGUGAUUAAGUUAUGGUUUUGUAGAUUUGAUUUUUUACUAAAAAUAUCAGUUCUUGAAAUAACGGUAAUUUUAUGGAAAACCUAAGGGCCGUUUAAAGCCAUCAGUAAAAAUUUAAACAUCAUGAAUUUGAAAUGUUUUACUGAUGAGCGUUUAUAGCAAUCAGAAAAUGUACGUCAUUAAGCCGCGUUACAUGCAUUACAACAACAAAUCAAGAUCCAGCUUUGUGUUUGGAUCUUAAUUUGAAAUCCAAAAUUUAUUUCUCUAUUUCACCCAGAGAGGGAUGCAAUUUGUAAUAUAACAUUUAAAUGUUGGUACCACUACCAACUAUUUGAAAUAUUACACAUAUUGCCAUAGUUACAUUUUCAUCUGACUGAAAAAAAAAUAUUUUAAAUAGAAAGUAAGCAAUUUCAUUUUUAUUUAGUUUUUAUCUUAAACACACGAAACAAAAACCUUUGACAAAAUAAAACAUAAAUUAUUGAACUUAAAAGCAAUAAGUGCAAAAAAUGUAUAUUUCGCCCAAUUAAUGGAUAUCAUUUUUCCCUUAAAAGAGCAACAAAAAAAUAUUCAUGAAAUAAAAUGUUCUUUGGGCAACUCUGCUUUAAACAUCAAACAAUUCGCAAAUCUGCAACCACACAAAAUGGAAAACACAAAUAAAAUGUAAGUGAUUUGUAAAUUAAAUAAACUUUUCUCGUAUUGCAUUCACCAAAUUUGAUGGUAUUUUAGUAAAAUCUGGAGUGCAAAAGAAACCAAAACCAAAUUUAUGGGUUUUGAUUGUUUUUUUUUUGCUUUGUUUCGAAAUGUCACUUUUGAAAGAACGAAUUUGUCACUGCUACCAAACUUUAAAUAAUAAAAAAUAUGAUGAUCCAAUGCUGUUUUAUUAUUAUGAUCUGAUCCGGAUCAAAUCAUGGUGAUAAUAAAACUCGGCUAUUAUACAUAUACAGUAGUGGACAAGAAUUCAGCACACUUUUUGAAGAAAAUAAAAAUCAUUUAAUUUUCAA